ACAAGACAAAAAUCAAAAAAUCCAUUUGCUUUUGUGUAUCUGGUGUGCAACAAAUAGUUUAUUUUGUGAAUGGCAUCUGGUCAGAGGGAUGACCAUCUCAGAAUGGUUGGAUUGGAAGGGUUUGGACUAAUAGAUCAGAUCUAUGGUCCAACCAGAAGGCCAUCUCCGAGGGUUCAGUCUCAACAGGUUCACCAAAACCAUUAUCGUCAUCCUCAACAGCACCAACAUCAGCAAUCUUGC
rnacentral:lncRNA from 1 species